AAAAAACUGUUUAUUGAGGUCGAAUACUGUGGAGGGCAGAAUAGUUUUUAAUUGUUGGAAAAAAAAAACCUGGAUUUGAUCCACAGUCUGUAGGGUGCAGACCCCUGACUAGAUAUCAGAUAGUGGUGAGCAUAUCUGACAGACCUAAAAGGGGAGGCAGAGGCACCACAUCAGCGUGGCAGACCCACCUGUCACCCCAGGGCCACCAAACACUUGAGUGUCUUAAGGAGAUUUUAUUGGGGUGGUGCUAACUCCUUCAGAGAAAAUGUUAGCCACUCUCUGUGCUACAUUAUAGAUGUAUAUGCUUAUUUGUUUAUUUAUUUAUUAUUAUCUGUAUCCUGAACUAUAUCACAAACACCUGAGGGCAGGCAUCUGCAGAAAGGAUAGUAAAACACAUUUCAGGCUCCCAGGAAUGGAAUCCAAAUUUUUCCUCGUAAGCUGUGCAGCCUUGGGUGAUUUAUUUAACCUCUCUGUAUUAGGCCUGUGAGAUGGGAUGUUAUGGAGUACCUCCCUCAUAGACUUGUUUAAUGAAUCAGCAAUACCAGUAAAUGAAAACUAUUUAUGUUACUAUGCUUUUCUCUCUUACGGCAGUCUGAAUUCACAUCAGUGGAUCUCCUUCCCUUUAUGAAUACAGAACUCAACAACCCAUUCAUUGAUUUCUCUAGACCUAUCCUCUAUACCAACAAAACAAAACACCAACAACAACCAAAAAACCAGUCUGAUUUGUCCUAAAGGAAUAGUGAAUUCUCCAAUUCUCCAAAUUCUCCACCUCUUAUCAGGUUCAGAACUGCAGCUCUCAUAUCACGCUCCUGCCUCUGUUAAAACCAACAACAAAGUGUGGUGGGAAUGUAAAAUGAAGCAGCUGCUAUGGAAAGCAGUAUAACAUAAACAAUUCCUUAAAGUUAAACAGAAUCACCUGUGAUCCAGCUAUUCCACUUCUGAGCAUACACUCAAAAGAACUGAAAGUAGAGACUUGAGAUGUUUGGCCACCUCUGCUGAUAGAGCAUUAUUACCAAUAGCCAAAAGGUGGAAGCAGACCAAGUGUCCGUCCAUGGACCAAUGGAUAAACAAAAUGUAGUAUAUUCAUACAAUGGAAAAUUAUUCAACCAUUAAAAAGAAGGAAAUUCUGGCACAUGAAGGAAACUGAAGGGCUUGAUAUGAAAAACUACUGCGUGAUUCCACUCAUGGAAGGUACCUAGGAUAGUCAAAGUCACAGAAACAAAAAUUCAAAUGGGGGUUUCCAGGUCUGGAGUAAGAGGGAGAAGUUGUUUAAUGGAUACAGAGUUUCUUUUAGAAGAUAAAAAAUCCUGGAGAUGGAUGGUGGCGAUGGCUGUACGGCCAUGUGAUUAUACUUUAUGCAACUGAACUGUGCACCUAAAAAUGGUUGAGACGAUAGAUUUUUAUGUUGUAUGCAUAUUCAAAAACACUAAGUCUCUGUUCCCUUCUUCUUCUAUUCCCUGCAUCCAGCUCAGAGCUUGGU
rnacentral:lncRNA from 1 species